AGGGGUGACAGGUGACAGAGUGAGGGAAGGGGUGACUAGUGGCAGAGUGAGGGAAGGAAGGGGUGACUAGUGACAGAGUGAGGGAGGGGGUGACACAGUGACAGAGUGAAGGAGGUGGUGACUGUCACUAGUCACCCCAUCCCUCCCUCUGUCACUAAUCACCACCUCCCUCACUCUGUCACUAGUCAUCCCUUCCCUCUCUCACUCUGUCACUAGUCACCCCCUCCCUCUCUCUGUCACUAGUCACACCCU